rnacentral:tRNA from 1 species
GGGCAGGUACCCAAGUGGCCAACGGGGACUGACUGUAAAUCAGUUGGCUCAGCCUUCGGAGGUUCGAAUCCUUCCCUGCCCACCA